rnacentral:snRNA from 1 species
AUCGCUUCUCGGCCUUUUGGCUAAGAUCAAGUGUUAAAACAAUCCAGAAGAAGACAACAAAUUUCUCUUUUAAAACAGUAUCAAUGAAUACUGACAUUCUGAUUGUUGGUACACUAAUAUCAAAUUUGUUUAAGAAUAUAUUUUUUAAAAUUUCACCAUU